AUUGAACGCUGGCGGCAGGCCUAACACAUGCAAGUCGAGCGGAGCGGCGGACGGGUGAGUAAUGUAUGGGGAUCUGCCCGAUAGAGGGGGAUAACUACUCGAAAGAGUGGCUAAUACCACAUACUAUUGGAGCGGCGGCUAUCGGAAUAGCUAGUUGGGGGGGUAAAGGCUCACCAAGGCAACGAUCCGUAGCUGGUUUGAGAGGAUGACCAGCCACACUGGGACUGAGACACGGCCCAGACUCCUACGGGAGGCAGCAGUGGGGAAUUUUUGGCAAUGGGGGAAACCCUGAUCCAGCCAUCCCGCGUGUAUGAAGAAGGCUUUCGGGUUGUAAAGUACUUUUGGCAGAGAAGCGGUAUCUGCAGAAUAAGCACCGGCUAACUACGUGCCAGCAGCCGCGGUAAUAC
rnacentral:rRNA from 1 species